AUUGAACGCUGGCGGCAGGCCUAACACAUGCAAGUCGAACGAGUGGCGGACGGGUGAGUAAUGUCUGGGCAACUGCCUGAUGGAGGGGGAUAACUACUGGAAACGGUAGCUAAUACCGCAUACCAUCAGAUGUGCUCAUAUGGGAUUAGCUUGUCGGUGGGGUAACGGCUCACCAAGGCGACGAUCCAUAGCGGGUCUGAGAGGAUGACCAGCCACACUGGAACUGAGACACGGUCCAGACUCCUACGGGAGGCAGCAGUGGGGAAUAUUGGACAAUGGACGCAAGCCUGAUACAGCAAUGCCGCGUGAGUGAAGAAGGCUUUCGGGUUGUAAAGUACUUUCGGCGGGGAGGCGUUACCCGAAGAAGAAGCACCGGCUAACUCCGUGCCAGCAGCCGCGGUAAUAC
rnacentral:rRNA from 1 species